AUGUCUAAGCACAUGCCUUAAAAUGGUAAAGCCGCGAAUGGCUCGGUAUAACAGCUACGGUUUAUUAGAUUUUUGUUAUCUACAUGGAUAACUGUGGUAAUUCUAGAGCUAAAACAUGCAAAAAAGCUCGGACCUUACGGAAUGAGCGCAUUUAUUAGAACAAAACCAAUCGAACUGCGUAACAGCGGCUCGUCAAUUGGUGACUCUGAAUAACUUUAGUUGAUCGCAUAGUCAUAGUACUGGCGACGUAUCUUUCAAAUAUCUGCCUUAUCAACUUUCGAUGGUAGGUUAUAUGCCUACCAUGGUUAUAACGGGUAACGGAGAAUAAGGGUUCGACUCCGGAGAGGGAGCCUGAGAAAUGGCUACCACAUCCAAGGAAGGCAGCAGGCGCGCAAAUUACCCAAUCCCGGUACGGGGAGGUAGUGACGAAAAAUAACGAGACAGUCCACUAUGUGGCCUGUCAUCGGAAUGGGUACAAUUUAAAUCUUUUAACGAGGAUCAAUUAGAGGGCAAGUCUGGUGCCAGCAGCCGCGGUAAUUCCAGCUCUAAUAGCGUAUAUUAAAGUUGUUGUGGUUAAAACGCCCGUAGUUGAUUGUUCGACUACGAAGCGCGGUAGCUCGAAAGGGCUUAACUGCGUUUUCGAGUCUGAAUUUCAAGUUUUCCACUGAUGCUCUUUAUUGAGUGUCUUUGGUGACUUGAACGUUUACUUUGAAAAAAUUAGAGUGCUUAAAGCAAGCUUAACGCUUGAAUAUAGUGCAUGGAAUAAUAGAAUAAGAUUUCAGCCUUAUUUUAUUGGUUUUCGAGGUUGAAUUAAUGAUUAAUAGAAUCUGCCGAGGGCAUUCGUAUUGUUGCGUUAGAGGUGAAAUUCUUAGAUCGCAGCAAGACGACCAACUGCGAAAGCAUUUGCCAAGAAUGUUUUCAUUAAUCAAGGACGAAAGUUAGAGGUUCGAAGGCGAUCAGAUACCGCCCUAGUUCUAACCGUAAACGAUGCCAACUGGCCAUUCGCCGAUGUUAAUUUAUGACUCGGCGGGCGGCCCCCGGGAAACCAAAGUUUUCUGGUUCCGGGGGAAGUAUGGUUGCAAAGCUUAAACUUAAAGGAAUUGACGGAAGGGCACCACCAGGAGUGGAGCCUGCGGCUUAAUUUGACUCAACACGGGAAAACUCACCCGGCCAAGACACAAUAAGGAUUGACAGAUUGAUAGCUCUUUCUCGAUUUUGUGGGUGGUGGUGCAUGGCCGUUCUUAGUUGGUGGAGCGAUUUGUCUGGUUAAUUCCGAUAACGAACGAGACUCUAGCCUAUUAAAUAGACGCGAUAUUCGAUUAGUAUAACGUUCUUCUUAGAGGGACAAGCAGCUUCUAGCUGCGCGAGAUUGAGCAAUAACAGGUCUGUGAUGCCCUUAGAUGUCCGGGGCUGCACGCGCGCUACAAUGGAGAUAACAUUGUGCGUAGCGUCCAUGUCCGAAAGGACUUGGUAAACACGAAUUAUUUUCGUGCUUGGGAUAGGCGAUUGCAAUUAUUUGCCUUAAACGAGGAAUUUCUAGUAAGCGUGAGUCAUAAGCUCGCGCUGAUUACGUCCCUGCCCUUUGUACACACCGCCCGUCGCUACUACGAAUUGGUGGUAUCAGCGAAGCACUUGGACCGAGUGCGAAGUGGCCGUAAAAAGUCGCUACGUAGCUUGGAAAGAGUUCUUAGCCGUUGCCACUAGACGAAGU
rnacentral:rRNA from 2 species